GAGGGUAGAGCUCAGUGGUAGAGCACAUGCUUAGCAUGCAUGAGGUCAUGGGUUUGAUCCCUAGUACCUUAG
rnacentral:tRNA from 1 species